UACGUAGGGUGCGAGCGUUAAUCGGAAUUACUGGGCGUAAAGAGUGCGUAGGCGGUUCGGUAUGUCUGCUGUGAAAGCCCCGGGCUUAACCCGGGAAUGGCAGUGGAAACUGGCGGGCUUGAGUGUGGCAGAGGGGGGUGGAAUUCCGCGUGUAGCAGUGAAAUGCGUAGAGAUGCGGAGGAACACCGAUGGCGAAGGCAGCCCCCUGGGCUAACACUGACGCUGAGGCACGAAAGCGUGGGGAGCAAACAGG
rnacentral:rRNA from 1 species